rnacentral:rRNA from 1 species
GAUGAACGCUGGCGGCGUGCCUAAUACAUGCAAGUCGAGCGGUAAGGCUCCUUCGGGAGUACACGAGCGGCGGACGGCUGAGUAACGCGUAGGAACGUACCCCAAACUGAGGGAUAACUGCUCGAAAGAGUAGCUAAUACCGCAUGUGCUCUACGGAGUAAAGCUACGGCGGUUUGGGAACGGCCUGCGUACGAUUAGAUUGUUGGUGAGGUAAUGGCUCACCAAGUCGACGAUCGUUAGCUGGUCUGAGAGGAUGAUCAGCCAGACUGGGACUGAGAACGGCCCAGACUCCUACGGGAGGCAGCAGUAGGGAAUUUUCCACAAUGGACGAAAGUCUGAUGGAGCAACGCCGCGUGCAGGAUGAAUGCCUUCGGGUUGUAAACUGCUUUUGUACGGGAGCAAUAAGGUCUACGAGUAGAUUGAUGAGAGUACUGUACGAAUAAGCAUCGGCUAACUCCGUGCCAGCAGCCGCGGUAAGAUAGCGUA